CUGUGGGAGAGUAAAGAAGAGAGAGAAAGAAGAAGAAGAAAGAAGAAGGGGAAUCGACUGUGGAGCUUCACCGGAGCUAGAUCUUGGUACUAUGAGCCUAGAUUAAUGAUUAGCUCGUCAGGAUCUUCGAUUUGAGGAUUUAGAAGGAGUUUUGGUGAAAAUCUAGAGUAUUUAGAAGUUCUUGAGCAAAAGAAGUGAAAUUUGGGGUUUCAUUGGUGUUCUUGAGAAAGAGGUUACACUCAUUAUACGCGUACCCACACAUCGGAUCUCUU